rnacentral:misc_RNA from 1 species
CGGGGAGCAGGCGGAUCGGUGCAGCAGGGAUAUUAGGCGGGCGAGGACGGUCGUAUUGCAGAGGAUUAUCAGGCAUCCAUAGUGAUGGUGGUGAUUCUGAACCUUAUCAGAUACUACAGCAAAGAGAAUAGACCUGACUAUGGGUUUGCGGACUAAUAAUCUGGCGAAACCGGGACCUACCUACAAAUGUUCAAGAGUCUUUAACAGUAAGGGGAACAGCCAGAAGACCCCAUUUGUAUAACUUAAUGAUCUUAUAUGAAUUUCCCUUCAGGCUCUGUCCAAAUUAG